rnacentral:rRNA from 1 species
UACAUGGGGUGCAAACGUUGCUCGGAAUCAUUGGGCGUAAAGCGCGCGUAGGCGGUUACACAAGUUGGAUGUGAAAGCCCUCGGCUUAACUGAGGAAGUGCAUCCAAAACUGUGCAGCUAGAGUACUAAAGAGGGUCGCGGAAUUCCCGGUGUAGAGGUGAAAUUCGUAGAUAUCGGGGGGAACACCGGUGGCGAAGGCGGCGACCUGGGUAGAUACUGACGCUGAGGCGCGAAAGCGUGGGGAGCAAACAGG